ACAAAGGACAAUGGUUCAAACAGUCCUUGGUUACAAGGCAGAGUGAACUGAAUCACUCCUUGAGUGGUUACAUUUUGCAAGUGUAAAAGCGGGUGAGAACUGUGUUUUCCUUCUGACAUAUAAACACAGACCUCAGUGUGUGUUCGUGUGCUUUUGGACUGUAUCUACAAGAGAGGGGAAUGAAAUGACACUUGUACAAAACAAGAGAAACAUUUCGGUUGCCAAGUUUUUCUGAUACAUAAUACAACAUUUGAACAUCUCUGGAUGGUUUCGUUUUCUCUUGUGCUUUUUAAAAACAUCAGCUAAGAAUAUAUCUGCUGCAGCAUGUUUUAGUAACAUCUCUUUUUUUACCUUUAUGAAUUAAACCUUCUGAACCAAUUCAAAGGUAUUGUAAUAUUGUUUAAAUUGAAAAGAGUUUAAACUCUCCAUGAUGUGGGACUAAAAAUAUGGAAGCUUGAAAAUAUGUUCUUUUUACCAACUUUUCUGUGAGUUUUUGCCAUUUUGCAAUUUUUGUCUCCAGGAAUGGCCCGAAACAAGAACAAAAACAUAGAUGAAAGGAGGCCUUGGACAACCGUUAGUUUUCUCAACAGAGACAACUGUAGAUUGGACCGUUCCAUUCACUUUCACAUGAUAUAACUAAAUCUGUACUUGUAACUGAUGGGCCCAUUUGGUGGAAACAUGGGACAAAACCUUCCCAGCAUCUGUUCUCAGGCUCUGAAAGACCCUUCCCAGACAGGGGAUGUGGCAUCCCUUUAAUGUUGUCCCAUAAAUGGGUGGAUGUCCAAAGGGAUUACUGGUCUUGAUUUUGGAGGCCAUGUAGAAUGUGUUGCACUCUUUUUUUCUUAUAACUGCUCUUUAAUUUGUUAACACUGGUUUCAAAUUUGGUGAGGACACUACCCAAUCUAUAUGAAUUAAGAGACCAUUGUUACGAGUUUGUGGGAAACCAAACUGCGUGCAGUCCUGUCCAGACUUAUCCAGCCCUUUCCUGCAUCCACAAUGAGCAAAAGAAAACAAUCCAAGAAAAUGGAAAAACCAAAGUUUACUCUUAAGUAGCAGAGACAAGGAGAAAAUUAAACAAGCAGCUUCAAAAAACACAAAACCUCCAGCUUCAAAAUAACUCAGUCCAUCUGGAGCAACAAACUCACAUAAAGUUCUUUGCAUUAAAUACAUGCAUCUUCUUUGGAGAUUUCUUCAAUGGUGCAAGGAGACAAGCAUAGUAGGCUCUUGGCCAGGAAACUUACUCCAAGUAAGUUCUGAAGCAAGUGAUUCAGUAAGUCCCAAAAAACAUUACAAACAUUCCCCAAGUUAUACUCCAUUCAGGGAGUGGUUCAAGCUUGUUAGCCUUGAUUGUUCUAAUUACCCAACUAUGAAAUGUAAUUGACCAGGUGUUUUUCCCUUAACACACACAUACAGAAGUAGUGAUCCCACAGAAUACAUGCAUAUACAGCAGCAACCACCACUUCCCUGGAGGCUGGGGCCCCUUUGUUUACACUGUUGCCAUGAGAAUGCAGUUCCGAAUGAGACUGGGACUGCCCAUUCCGUUAGUGACAGGAAGAAAAGAGACACUUAUCUUUUGCCAUCUCACCUGUAUUUGCCUGUCGUCAAGAUGCCUUUGAAAAAACUUCUCAAAUGCUCAUGGAUGGCAUCUCAGCAGAGCCAGGGUGGAAGAAGGCAGGGCCCCAUUCAAGUAGAAAAGUAUGAUUCCAGAUACAUCCUGGCCAGGGGAGGAGAUGACGACGAUGCACUUUGUAGACAGCUGUUUCAGGGAUUUAGUGAACCAUCUCUAGAGAUAGAGGACUUAGAAGACAUCUAACAUCUCUCUCCAUGUCCUCUUCCUGAAACAGCUGUCUCCAUUGUGCGUUCGUACUGGCAGAUCUUCCUCCUCCUUCCCUGGUCAGGGUGCCCAUGAAUGAAGAAUUCUACUUGAAUGAGGCCCUCCCUCCUCCCAUCCCGGCUGAUACCAUCCAGAAAUGCGGAGACACCACAGACACAGAGAGGACUAUGUGGAAAGAAGUGCUGAGUUUGCCGAUGGUUUGCUCUCAAAAGAUUAAAACACCAAUACUAAUAGGAGUAAUAAUACAAUAGCAGUUAACAUGGAAUCAUAACGCGAUCAUUGCAAGCAAUUAUUAAAGGGUGCCUUUUCUCUAUGCUACAAUCUGUUUAUAAAAACAGAUUAUUUUCUCCAGUCAGAUUGAGGCAGUGAAAGCAUUUAAAUUUUAGUGGAAAACUUAAUAGAAACUGAGCUUCUGUAAUGGUGAAUCAGAACCGGAAAUUAUGUUAUUUAGUUUGAAGGAUAUGUAAUUAGUCAAUAAAAAUUGUAUUAAAGGAAAUAGGCUGAGAAGGCAAUACUACCAUUAUCUGGAGGGUGUAGACCAAGCUGUUUCUCCUCCCCUUUGUAUUCAUUUUCUUUCUGUGCCUUUUUGCUUUGAGUAUUUGCUAGUUCAAGUGUGUUAGUUGGCCGGCCUCCACUCCUCUCCCCUCCCCAGGAAGAAAUCCUGCCCCUGAGGAAGGAUCGUGGGGCGGUAGUCUUUUUGCCUGGCGCUAACAGGGCAGCAUGGCACCCACUCCUCUGCCGGCCACUGUUGGCCAACCUCCUUUCUUCUGCCCCCCCCCCCCCCCCGGAGGGAAUCUUGCCCAAGCAGAAGGAUCGUGGGUUGGUGUGUUUCCUCGGCUGGCCACAGUUAGCCAGCCUCCACUCCUACGGCCCCUCCACCCUGCCCCACCCAAGAAGGCAAUCCUGCCCAAGUGGAAAACAUUAAGAUAGAAGACAUUUUCUAAGCCUAAAAGUUUGUCAAAAUCUUCCCCGAAACCAGCAUCAACGCACUGGCAGACCCAAACCAAAACCAAAUCAAACCGACACAAAUCAAACCAAACCAAACCAAACCAAAGCAACCUUCCGCAAGGACCACAUGACAGACUGAAGGCUGCACUGCUGUACAACCAAAGUGUCCGGUCCGCAGUGCAACACCAACCUGUCUCUGCCAGCCAAAAAGGCAUCCCACCCCACCCCAGGAAGGAAUCUUCCCCAAGUAGAAGGAUCCCGGGGCCAGGGGUUCCCUCUGCUGGCCACAGUUGCUGGCCAACACCCCCGGAAGACCUGGGUAAGCCAGCAACUACCAACAAACUGCAGGAAGGACCAGCUGCCUGAAGGCAGCACUGAUGUAUAGCCAUAGUGUCCGCCAGCCCACGGUGCAACUCCGCCAUGUUACCGCCAGCCAAAAAGGCGUCCCACCCCACCCCCAGAGGGAAUCUUCCCCAAGUGGAAGGAUACUGCUGCUUCACCCAAACCAAAACCAAAACCAAAACCAAACCACACAAGCAAACCUAGAGGAAGGACCAGCUAAUUGAAGGCUGCGCUGAAGGAACAACUAACUGAAGGCCGCACUGCUCUACAGUCAUAUUGUCCGGCUCACAGUGCAACACCAACCUGUUCUCUGCCAGCCAAAAAGGCAUCCCGACCCAGUGCAGGAAGGAACCUGUUGGCCACAGUGGAAGGAUCGCGGGGCAGGUUGUUCCCUCGGCCGGCAACAGUUGGCCGGCCUCCACUCCUACGGCCCCUCCACCCUGCCCCACCCAAGAAGGCAAUCCUGCCCAAGUGGAAGACAUUAAGACAAAAGACAUUUUCUAAGCCUAAAAGUUUGUCAAAGUCUUCCCCAAGAACAAGCAUCAAGGAAUGUACAACCACUCCUCUGGCCCCCCGGGAGGGAAUCUUGCCCCAGAGGAAUCUGGCUCCUACUCCCAGACCUGGAUAUUGCCACCUGUUUCUCUGACAUAGUGUCUGUCUGGUCUGCGGAGCUACUCCAACCUGCCACUGCCAGCCCAAAAGGCAUCCUGCCAGCCAGCAACUACCAACAAACUGUAGGAAGGACCAGCUGCCCGAAGGCUGCAGUCCUGUAUGUGUCCGGUCCGUGGUGCAACACUGACAUGCUACUGCCAGCAAAAAGGCAUCCCGACCCAGUGCAGGAAGGAACCUGGUGGCCACAGUGGAAGAAUUGUGGGGCGGAGGGUUCCCUCUGCCAGCCACAGUUGGCUGGCCCACACCCCCCAGAAGACCUGGGUAUUAAGCCAGCAACCCUUUAGGAAGGAACACUUCAGAAAGCCCAUAGAAACCUAUGUAGAAACAACUCUGCAGGCAUCCGGGAAGGAGUCCAUUCCAAGGGCAGCCUCUGUAUAGAGUUCACAGUGUGAACCCCUGGGUGCAACACCAACCUGUCUCCGCCAGCCAAAGAGGCAUCCUGCCCCACCUCAGAAGGGAAUCUUCUCCAAGCAGAAGGAUACUGCAGCUGCACCCAAACCAAACCAAACCCAAACCACACCAGCAGCAGCAACCCUACCCCGUUUCCCCGAAAAAAAAGACAUCCCCGAAAGUAAGACCUAGCAAAGUUUGUUUGGAAGCAUGCCCAUUGCCCACCAAACAGAACACCAGAGCAUGCAGGAUGAUGUACCAUUCUACAUGGAAAUAAUGAUAGUAACAAUAAAUUCUUGAUAGGAUUCACAGUCCGGCCCACGGUGCAACUCCGCCAUGUUACAACCAGCCAAAAAGGCAUCCCGCCCUACUCCAGAAGGGAAUCUUCCCCAAGUGGAAGGAUACUGCUGCUUCACCAAGACCAAGAGGCUCUACUGCCAGGCAAAAAGGCAGGCAUCCCGCCCCACCGCAAGAAGGAAUCUUGCAAGGAAUCUAGCAUCCAUUUAAAACCAAGCUUUCUAAAACAGCUCACCAUGUUUAUACAGUAAAGUUCCAUCCACAAGUUUUGCAUCUCUGAAGGUGAAUUGGUAUGCUUGGUUUGUGGACAGGAAGAAAAGGGUAGUCAACUAAAAGCACAGAAUCACUGCAUUCAUAGCAGACAGCUAUCUCUUUAACUUAUUUGAAUGUACUUAUUUACUGUAAAGUAAAGGUAAAGGUUUCUCCUGAUGUUAAGUCCAGUCAUGUCUGACUCUGGGGGUUGGUGCUCAUCUCC